GAUGAACGCUGGCGGCGUGCCUAAUACAUGCAAGUCGAGCGAAUGGAUUAAGAGCUUGCUCUUAUGAAGUUAGCGGCGGACGGGUGAGUAACACGUGGGUAACCUGCCCAUAAGACUGGGAUAACUCCGGGAAACCGGGGCUAAUACCGGAUAACAUUUUGAACCGCAUGGUUCGAAAUUGAAAGGCGGCUUCGGCUGUAACUUAUGGAUGGACCCGCGUCGCAUUAGCUAGUUGGUGAGGUAACGGCUCCCCAAGGCAACGAUGCGUAGCCGACCUGAGAGGGUGAUCGGCCACACUGGGACUGAGACACGGCCCAGACUCCUACGGGAGGCAGCAGUAGGGAAUCUUCCGCAAUGGACGAAAGUCUGACGGAGCAACGCCGCGUGAGUGAUGAAGGCUUUCGGGUCGUAAAACUCUGUUGUUAGGGAAGAACCAGUGCUAGUUGAAUAAGCUGGCACCUUGACGGUACCUAACCAGAAAGCCACGGCUAACUACGUGCCAGCCGCCGCGGUAA
rnacentral:rRNA from 1 species